GAUGAAGAACGCAGCGAAAUGCGAUAAGUAAUGUGAAUUGCAGAAUUCAGUGAAUCAUCGAAUCUUUGAACGCACCUUGCGCCCUUUGGCUAUUCCGAAGGGCAUGCCUGUUUGAGUAUCAUGAACACCUCAACUCUCAUGGUUUGCCAUGAAGAGCUUGGACUUUGGGGGUCUUGCUGGCCUAUGGUCGGCUCCUCUCAAAUGAAUCAGCUUUCCAGUGUUUGGUGGCAUCACGGGUGUGAUACUAUCUACGCUUGUGGUGUUCUGCCAGGUAACCUUCAGCAAUGGGGGUUCGCUGGAGCUCAUAAACGUCUCCAUGGUGGGGACAGCUUUGUGAAUGUUUGAUCUCAAAUCAGGUAGGACUACCCGCUGAACUUAAGCAUAUCAAUAAGCGGAGGA
rnacentral:misc_RNA from 1 species